rnacentral:rRNA from 1 species
AGUAACACGUAUCCAACCUGCCGUCUACUCUUGACAGCCUUCUGUAAGGAAGAUUAAUACAAGAUGGCAUCAUGAGUCCGCAUGUUCACAUGAUUAAAGGUAUUCCGGUAGACGAUGGGGAGUGCGUUCCAUUAGAUAGUAGGCGGGGUAACGGCCCACCUAGUCUUCGAUGGAUAGGGGUUCUGAGAGGAAGGUCCCCCACAUUGGAACUGAGACACGGUCCAAACUCCUACGGGAGGCAGCAUG